rnacentral:rRNA from 1 species
GGGGAGCAAUCCCUGAGUAUAGUGGCGACCGGGUGAGUAACACGUGACUACCUGCCCUUGAGUGGGGGAUAACCCCGGGAAACCGGGGCUAAUACCGCAUAAUAUCGAAAGAUCAAAGGAGCAAUCCGCUUUUGGAGGGGGUCGCGGCUGAUUAGCUAGUUGGUGAGGUAAUGGCUCACCAAGGCGAAGAUCGGUAUCCGGCCUGAGAGGGCGCACGGACACACUGGAACUGAAACACGGUCCAGACUCCUACGGGAGGCAGCAGUGGGGAAUUUUGCGCAAUGGGGGAAACCCUGACGCAGCAACGCCGCGUGGAGGAUGAAGCCCCUUGGGGCGUAAACUCCUUUCGACUGGGAAGAUAAUGACGGUACCAGUGGAAGAAGCACCGGCUAACUCUGUGCCAGCAGCCGCGGUAAUACAGAGGGUGCGAGCGUUGUUCGGAAUUAUUGGGCGUAAAGGGCGCGUAGGCGGUGCGGUAAGUCACCUGUGAAACCUCUGGGCUUAACUCAGAGCCUGCAGGCGAAACUGCCGUGCUGGAGGGUGGGAGAGG